rnacentral:rRNA from 1 species
GAUGAACGCUAGCGGCAGGCUUAAUACAUGCAAGUCGAGGGGCAGCGGGAGUAGCAAUACUUGCCGGCGACCGGCGCACGGGUGCGUAACACGUAUGUAAUCUGCCCAUCACAGGAGGAUAGCCCGGAGAAAUUCGGAUUAAUACUCCAUAAUAAAUUGAGUGGCAUCACUUGAUUUUGAAAGUUUCGACGGUGAUGGAUGAACAUGCGACUGAUUAGUUAGUUGGUGAGGUAACGGCUCACCAAGACCACGAUCAGUAGGGGUACUGAGAGGUUAAACCCCCACACUGGUACUGAGACACGGACCAGAAUCCUACGGGAGGCAGCAGUAAGGAAUAUUAGACAAUGGCCGCAAGGCUGAUCCAGCCAUGCCGCGUGCAGGAAGACGGACCUAUGGUUUGUAAACUGCUUUUGAACAAGAGAUAACCCCUUUACGUGUAAAGGGCUGAUAGUAUAGUUAGAAUAAGCAUCGGCUAACUUCGUGCCAGCAGCCGCAGUAACAC